GACGGGUGAGUAACGCGUGGGAAACCUGCCCUGUACCGGGGGAUAACACUUAGAAAUAGGUGCUAAUACCGCAUAAGCGCACAGCCUCACAUGAGGCAGUGUGAAAAACUCCGGUGGUACAGGAUGGUCCCGCGUCUGAUUAGCCAGUUGGCAGGGUAACGGCCUACCAAAGCGACGAUCAGUAGCCGGCCUGAGAGGGUGAACGGCCACAUUGGGACUGAGACACGGCCCAGACUCCUACGGGAGGCAGCAUG
rnacentral:rRNA from 1 species